GUUGAUGGCCACACAACAGUUUGAGGCAUCCAAGAAACUUAUCCUGCACUUCACUCACAAGAAAAGAAUGAACACUGAAAGUGAUAUCAAAGGAGUGCUGCCUGGCAAGUCAAGCAGUGGAAAUCAGUCAAGCAAGAAAGCUGUGUAGCUGUUUGGUGACCUGGUUGGGGAAUGUUUCGUGCGAUGGGGUAAAUGGAGCUGGCCUACUCAGCAAAGUAAAAGAAACAGAACAUGGCAAGUAGCAGUCCCAGAUGGUGAGGAAAAGAAAUAAGAAGUCCUCUCACCCAGAACUGCACUUUUCACAAGAACACAGCCAAUUGGCUUCCUUCAAAUGCAACAGAAACUGGUUCGGUCUAAUUCCCAAAGUUCCAGUAAAACAAAUAAAUUUGAAUAACACCAAUCAAAAUAUUUAUUUAAAUAACCCACAUAUACAUAUUGGGUAUAAACACAGAAUCUGGGAAAGACCUCAGCAGAUUCAAGACAACCUGCUGCCAGCCUGCAUGCCUCGUUCUUUCUCCCUCCUGCAUCACCAGCCAGUAUAGGUGAGAAUCUAUAUAGUGUGGUUGCAAGUAGCUAGACAGGC